AUCCCUGUGGAAUAGAAUGGUUCCUAAUAUCACGUAUCAGUUAGAUGACCAAGUUAGGACCUUCAUGGCUGCUGCAGCUCAGAUCAAUGGAAUACAGUCGGGGAUGCAGCGACCACACCCACAUGAGGGUUAGACCCUCUGAUUGGAUAUCAUUGGGAUGACUUGAACACUGCAAUGGCCGUCAUGCAAAUUGAUCAAGGGAUAGGACAACGACACUUACAAGAAGCAGCUCGGGGGAACAUUCCUGUUAAUGCAAGGAAUACCUGAAGUCAAAAGGCCUGCACGUCUCCAUUUGCAUUCGUGUCGACCAGGAGUGACGUUAAUGGAGACGGAGAGGAACAAACACAUCAGAACGUUGGGGAUGACGGAGACAGAAGAUGGAGGAACACCAGUGGGACAUCUGCACCAGAGGCUGCUUUAUCAAAUGGCUUUAAUUCAAGCUUUUUCAUUGCCAAUAUCAUAUCAAACAGGAGUUCAAAUGAAUUUGUUUCCAACUGUAUAACAUUUAUCACAAGG
rnacentral:lncRNA from 1 species